UGAGGAAUAUUGGGCAAUGCCCGCAAGGGUGACCCAGCAACGCCGCGUGGAGGAUGAAUGUCGUAAGAUUGUAAACUCCUGUUAGAGGGGAAGAAUAGUACCGGUUGGACCGGUAUAUGACUGUACCCUCAGAGAAAGCCCCGGCUAACUACGUGCCAGCAGCCGCGGUAAUACGUAGGGGGCAAGCGUUGUCCGGAUUUACUGGUGUAAAGGGCGCGCAGGCGGGAUAAAAAGUCAGUGGUGAAAUCCUACAGCUUAACUGUAGAACUGCCUUUGAUACUUUUAUUCUUGAGUUCGGGAGAGAGAGACGGAAUUCCAGGUGUAGUGGUGAAAUACGUAGAUAUCCGGAAGAACACCAGUUGCGAAGGCGGUCUCUUGGUCCGACACUGACGCUGAGGCGCGAAAGCGUGGGGAGCAAACA
rnacentral:rRNA from 1 species